rnacentral:lncRNA from 1 species
UGGGGGAUGGGCGGGGGGGGAGGGGGAGGAGAGCUGGCGGGAGUGGAAUUCCUGAGCAAUCGCUCAAGUCAACCCGGCCCUACCAUCUGCAGCGGCAGGAUCAACAUGCCUUCAAUUUGAUUCCUAUUCCGUUCCAAAUGCAAGGAAUGUGCGACAUAGUUAUUUGCAACAGUGUCCAAAGAGGCCAACAACUCAGUCGGAAUCCAGAGCCCAGCGGCACCAGAUUUCCUCGCUCUCUCUGGCUCUCUCUCUCUCUCUCUGUGUCUGUCGCUCUGUCUCUCUCACGCACACGCACACGCACACCAGAAUGCACUCCUUACCUUGGCCAGCUGUGGCGCCAGCGCGUCCCUGGCCUCCUGGCUGAGCGUCCGCUAGGGCGGUGGGGUGACACAGUGCGAGGCUCCGCAGAGACAUUCCCUCUGCAACCACCUGCAAACCAAGCCUCCCGGCCCGGCCAGUCUGACCGUGUGGAGUGGUCAGACCGGUGGUCCCCGACUGUCGGGGGUUGCUACUGCACACCCCGUGGGUUGGGAAGAGACAGAGAGAGUUCUUUCUCGGACUCCUUGGGGAUCACAGAUAAUCUCGCAUUUCGCAAAAGAUCUGCGCAACAAGCUGAGUGGGCUUCGCCCGGUCUCGACGCUGCGGGAAAGGAAUCAUAGAUCUCACGCAGACGCUGAACCGGCACGCACCACGCGUUCCGCCUUUUAAAGUCUGCAGACCUAUGGCACAAACAAAUUCCCAACUGAAGUGGUAACCCCAGGUCUCCUCAGUUUGGACUGGGGAGUCUCCCUGGAGUUCCCUGGCACUGGUCCCACACAGUUCAGGCCUGAAUCAGCGUCUAGGUUUUGUGGGAACUACUCCCAUUUAGCACUGGAAACGCCACCUUCCCUUGUAUGCAUGGAGGGGAAGAGUGAGUGGGUGACGUAGUGUUUCAGCCUCCAAGCACUUUUUGGGGGGGGGGGCGGGGAGACCCGUUACAGUCAAGACACAGUCGCAGCCAAAACAAAAUUUCCAACACACACUGCCCCAAGGUGCCUGCACUGUACGUUUGCUAGCUGCCUGGGUGUGAGCAGCUUGCCCCAGACUCAGAGUUUAGCAAGCACCGGGCAAUUAUGAACACGGUAAUUUGACUCCUGCGCCCCUCCAUCCCCUCCCAUCAACCCUUCUCUCCAUUUUGGCAACACUGCCCCCAGGCGCUUAGACACUUCUACUACAGCAGGCACUCCUCCCUCUCAAAUAACAUUCGCAGUUCACCUGGAGGCCUAGGAUGUCUCCUUCAAAGAACUGACUAAAGGGAUGGAGGUGGUGGCUCUCAGUGCCUUUAAGGAAGUGUUUGGGAGAUUGGCAGGGCCUUGAGGCUCUUGUGUGGGCAGCCACCUGUUUCCACGGAUGCUCAAGACUGGAACUUCCUGGGACCCGCGCAGUGUGGUAAAGCUGAUCCAGGUAAGCAAAUUCCAAUCGGUUCAAAAGAUUAACUCGGAGAAUUAGCUGUCAGUCACCAACAACUCGGUGUACAGAACAGGAUCCUGGGCUUUUCAUCUUUGCUAUACACCUAUAAAGAUUACACACCCUACCUACUCUCUUGGGGGGGAUAAUCAAGAUGUACAAAGUAAAACACAAGUGAGCAGAGACAACAUUCUAUCUUCUAAGCGAUCCACAUCUUGGUUCCUGUCAGAUGCAUAUUCCUGGAACUGAUGGACAACAUAUGGGGGGUGAACCAGACCCACAGUUACACUUGUAGCAAUUACAAUUAAUAUACUAAUUGAGUAGUGUUUAGGAACUUAAGGACAUGAAAUAGUGAGUGGCUCCACUGGGCUUGAUCAAGGAAAACUUCUUGGAGGUGAAUUUUGAGCAGGUUGCAAAUGAAGGGAGAGGCUCAGAUUCAAAGACGGAAAUGAAGGCAGGGACUCUGACUGAGGGGAAAGACCAGAAGAGGGGAAAUUUGAGAGGGUGGAGACAGCAAAUAACUGGAUACUUCUAGAACUCGAAAGCAUCCUGGUCUCUGCGCUUCUGGGAUAGAAGCAGGGCGCUGCAGAGAGGGAGGGCUGCAGUACUACAGGAAGGCUGCUGGAGUGGGGUGCAGGCUAUGCCAAUGAUGAGAUUUCAGAUUCUCAAGGCUGUGGGUUGCAGGGGUUGUUGUUUACGUAGAAAUUUACUUGGCAGCAAGCAGAUGGAGCAGUAAGAGAUAUUGGGGUUGUGACACUCGGUGGCCAGGAGGCUUUUGGUUCGAGGGAGCUCUCAGAUGUACUCUAUUUUUAAAAAUCAAUUCUGUGACCGUAGGCAAUAUUUAUUCACACAAUGCCUUCUACAACCCUUUUUAAUGAGAAGAGAAACAACUCUGAGAUGUUCCCUCUUUAUUCAGCAAGUACUGACUGCUUCCAAGUUUUUAAAAUUGUGAUAGGCACAUUUUCAAGUACCUGCUAUAGUUUUUAACCAGCUCGUGAUGUCUGACUAUUUUCAUGUGUUGAUUUACUAAACAAAACCGGCAUAAGAUGGUCAUAUGUUCCCAGGCACACCGAAGGCAAGCCCUGAAUUGUACCCUAAUUACAACAGAGUACAAUUUUCCCCUUCUAAAAUAGAACAACCACCAAGAAAAUGUCUUAAACAGCUACAAUAAGCUGCCUUUUAAGAUCCCUGGCUAUACCUUUAGAGAGCCUACAGGUAUGUUUGGUUUAAAUAGGUGUGGAUUUUAUUAAGUCAAAUUGACAUUGAAGAUAAAUUGAGGGGUAAUUCUUCAUUUGGAAAGCAUUUACCCAGGAGUUCUUUAAAAUAGUUAACUCUCCAAGUGCAACCAGGUAUCAUUUUAUUUUAUAUAUAGUAAUUAUGGUCCUUACAGUGUAAAAUAAGGGUGACUGUGCAGAUGUGAGGGGACAGAGGAUAGCUAUUCAACCGAGUGAUGGGAGAGAUUUCAUAGCAAUUUUAUCCAAAGAAAAUCUGACUUGGAGGCUAGGCCCCUGUGGGGAUGUAGGAUCUUGGGGUUUCUCAACUGACUGAAUUUUCAGUUCAGGUUCUAAAGCAAAGGAAAAAAAUAGAUUUCCAAAUGACACUAUGUGGUUUGCUGAGUCACUUUUCUGACCUGGCUCUUGUGCUUUUAAGAUUUAGAGUGAUAUUUGCAAAGAAGACCCAAGAGCUGUGAAUAAGAUUAAAGGUCAGUUGGUAGGGAAGGCACAAGUGUGGGUUAAGCAAACAUCGGAAAAACCGUGCAUACAUAUACUUUCCUCCAGUUUAGUCUCAAAGGUUACAUGUGGG